AAUGAGGACCAGCUGGUUCAGGUGCAUUGACCUCUUUGAAGCCAUUUAAUUAUAUACGUUCUUUGAAUAUUGUGGAUAUUUUCUGGUGAUACCCUAAUAAUGGAUUCCUCGUAAGUUGUGGAGAUUAAGUAGCCUUUAAGUGGUCUUUGAAGUUAAUUUUUGUUUCCUUUUUCAUGUAAAACCAUAUCAUUUGUGCUUUCUUAUGUUUUUAGCAUGUUGUAGGUAGGGGGGAAAACCUUGCAGUGUGAACAAGUUAAUGACUUGUUUUCAUUAAGGAAAUUGAUGGAAUAUGAUACA
rnacentral:misc_RNA from 1 species